rnacentral:rRNA from 1 species
UACGGGGGGGGUAAGCGUUGUUCGGAAUUACUGGGCGUAAAGGGCUCGUAGGCGGCCAACUAAGUCAUACGUGAAAUCCCUCAGCUUAACUGGGGAACUGCGUGUGAUACUGGAUGGCUUGGAUUUGGGAGAGGGAUGCGGAAUUCCAGGUGUAGCGGUGAAAUGCGUAGAUAUCAGGAGGAACACCGGUGGCGAAGGCGGAUCUCUGGGCCAUUACUGACGCUGAGGAGCGAAAGCGUGGGGAGCGAACAGG